UGGGGAAUAUUGCACAAUGGGCGCAAGCCUGAUGCAGCGACGCCGCGUGCGGGAUGGAGGCCUUCGGGUUGUAAACCGCUUUGUUCAAGGGCAAGGCAGGCUUUCGGGCCUGUUGAGUGGAUUGUUCGAAUAAGCACCGGCUAACUACGUGCCAGCAGCCGCG
rnacentral:rRNA from 1 species